rnacentral:rRNA from 1 species
UGAGGAAUAUUGGUCAAUGGGCGGGAGCCUGAACCAGCCAAGUCGCGUGAGGGAGGAAGGUCCUACGGAUUGUAAACCUCUUUUAGCCGGGGAGCAACGUGCGCCACGUGUGGCGCAAUGAGAGUACCCGGAGAAUAAGCAUCGGCUAACUCCGUGCCAGCAGCCGCGGUAAUACGGAGGAUGCGAGCGUUAUCCGGAUUUAUUGGGUUUAAAGGGUGCGCAGGCGGCGCGAAAAGUCAGCGGUCAAAGUUCCGGGCUCAACCCGGUGACGCCGUUGAAACUUUCGGGCUGGAGUUCGUGGUGUAGCGGUGAAAUGCUUAGAUAUCACGAAGAACUCCGAUUGCGAAGGCAGCUCACGGGAGCGCAACUGACGCUGAAGCUCG